UACAGAGGGGGCAAGCGUUGUUCGGAAUUACUGGGCGUAAAGGGCGCGUAGGCGGCCUGCUAAGUCGAACGUGAAAUCCCUGGGCUCAACCCAGGAACUGCGUCCGAUACUGGUUGGCUUGAAUCCGGGAGAGGGACGUGGAAUUCCAGGUGUAGCGGUGAAAUGCGUAGAUAUCCGGAGGAACACCAGUGGCGAAGGCGGCCUUCUGGGAUGAUCCUGACGCUCAGACACGAAAGCUAGGGGAGCGAACGGG
rnacentral:rRNA from 1 species